rnacentral:sRNA from 1 species
GAUGCCAGGGCCAAAAAGUCUAAGCCCACAUGAGCUUGCUCAUAAGUGGGUGAAAGGUCUUGAGGCCCGCCCCGAUAUGAGUAUAAAAGUAGGAUAGCAAUCCCACGAUAUGCGAAUAAUGGCAAGGAUUGUGGGAGUGCAUAGCACGGAACAAUCCGUAGCCAU